GUUUGUGGCUCAGUGGUAGAGUGCUCGCCUAGCAUGUGCGAGGCACUGGGUUCGAUUCUCAGCACUACA
rnacentral:tRNA from 1 species